AUUACUUCUCAGUCUUUGGUUAAGAUCAAGUGUAUUAUCUGUUCUUACCAGUUUAAUACUAUAAGAUGUGGUCUUUGUGCCUGGCUUCUUUCACUUAGCGUAAUGUUUUCAAAGUUAAUCCAU
rnacentral:snRNA from 1 species